AGAGUUUGAUUCUGGCUCAGGAUGAACGCUAGCUACAGGCUUAACACAUGCAAGUCGAGGGGCAGCAUGGUCUUAGCUUGCUAAGGCCGAUGGCGACCGGCGCACGGGUGAGUAACACGUAUCCAACCUGCCGUCUACUCUUGGACAGCCUUCUGAAAGGAAGAUUAAUACAAGAUGGCAUCAUGAGUCCGCAUGUUCACAUGAUUAAAGGUAUUCCGGUAGACGAUGGGGAUGCGUUCCAUUAGAUAGUUGGUGAGGUAACGGCUCACCAAGUCGACGAUCGGUAGCCGGACUGAGAGGUUGAACGGCCACAUUGGGACUGAGACACGGCCCAG
rnacentral:rRNA from 1 species